rnacentral:tRNA from 1 species
ACUUUUAAAGGAUAGAAGUAAUCCCCUGGUCUUAGGCACCACAAACCUUGGUGCAAGUCCAAGUAAAAGUC